GGAUGUGAGGGCAGUCCGGCUGCAACACUCUCACCCAUUGAUUUCCAGGGUGGAUAUGGCUAACCUGGCCAGCAAAGCCGUGUCCCCUUCCUCCCUCACCACUCCUGUGCAUCCGCCUGAGACUGCGGUUUCCUCUACCUCAAAGAGGACAAUCUUCCCUGAGGGAGGAAGACUGCUGGGUCAAGGGUGUAUGAGUAGUCACGCUCCCCUGCUAGGACCUCCCAACAAGCUCUCAAGAAGAUGGUCAUAUGGAGAUAGCGACAUGGAGAAUGCCAUGUAAUGCCAAAGGUUGAGGCAUGGUUAAUGUGGCUGCAACC
ensembl:misc_RNA 7SK 7SK RNA